UACGAAGGGGGCUAGCGUUGUUCGGAAUCACUGGGCGUAAAGCGCACGUAGGCGGAUCUUUAAGUCAGAGGUGAAAUCCCAAGGCUCAACCUUGGAACUGCCUUUGAUACUGGGGAUCUCGAGUCCGGGAGAGGUGAGCGGAACUGCGAGUGUAGAGGUGAAAUUCGUAGAUAUUCGCAAGAACACCAGUGGCGAAGGCGGCUCACUGGCCCGGUACUGACGCUGAGGUGCGAAAGCGUGGGGAGCAAACAGG
rnacentral:rRNA from 1 species